UUUUUUUUUUUUCUUUUUUCAUUUUAUAAACCGGUUCAUUUUCAACUUUAGUCCUUUUAAUAUGCUUGAGAUUUAAUUCUUAUACUUUAAUUUCAAUUUUAGUCUUAAUAUGCUUAAAUUUAAUAUUUAAUCUUUAUACUUUAAUUUCAAUUUUAGCCACAAUAAGCUUUAUAUUUAAGAUUUAAUCCUUAUACUUUAAUCUUUUAACAUCAUUUCAUCUCUAUAUUUUUAUAAUUUUAUUAAUUAUUUCAAAUAGUUAAUAUCGUUAACUUUUCAAUUAAACGUGAUUACAUAUAAUUUGAAAAUAGAUUUUUAAAAUAAUAAGUUAGAGAAAUAAAUUCUAAAUAUACAAAGUGUAGAGAAUUACAGUUAUGGUUGUUUGAACUUAAUCAGAUCGGCUGGUUGGAUCGAGAAACUGUCAAGAUAUCAAUCCGAAGAGAGGCAUCAGAUUGAUUGACCUGCGAAUUGAUACGGACCGAUUGAACCAAACAAAAAAACCAAUUGAAUCAAAUUUUUUAAUGUUUUUUAAUAAUUCAUUUAAUUGAAUUGUAUGAAUUAACGGUCUGACCAAUUCAACCACUAAUCUAGUUUUGAAAACUUUGCUUAGAGUAUAUUUGAUCUUCAAAAUUUUACUCUAUAAUUUCACAUUAAGAAAUAAUCAACCAGACGUGGGUCAACCAUAUUAAUUCAUGCUCAAAUAUGAAAAAAAAAAUUGAUGGGGCACUCAUAUUUAUUAAAUAUAAUUAUAUUUUUUUAAAAUAAAUUAAAGUGUAAAAAUAAAAAUAAUUUUAUAUGUAGCACCCCAAACCCGGCCCAGUCGUUAAGGCCGAAUCCGACGUGCCACUUUGAAGUCAAAAACCCGUGUUCCUUUUUUAGUGUUUUAAAAAAAAACCGACUUUUGUCAAACUAACCAAGUGAAUGGAAGCUGGGCACCAGGUAGGUAUCCAUAACAGAGGAGGUGAGCCAUGGAGGCUGCUUAAGUACCAAGCUCUCCGAUUGGAUCCAAUCCUAGACAUGCCCACAUCCAUUGCCACACUUGAUUAUAACAAGUUGAAAUUUCUUUGAGUGAUUAUCUUUAGUAAACCGAAUAUUCGUGACGUCGUGUUAUUUUAAAAAAAAACAAGUAUCGUUUUGAAAUCACACCCUAAGUCUAGCCCAUUUGAAUUAGUAUCCAUCAAUUUAAAGUUGUUUUUAAUAAUAUAAUCCCAGAAAAAUCAAAGAAGAAAAUAAAGUUAAAAUGGCCUUAUUACAACCCAAAAAUUAAAUAGCAAUUAAAAAUAACUUAAGAAAACCAGUCUCUUUUUCAAACCCAAAAGUAUUCACCAUGGCCACUCUGAAUCCCCUCCGGCUCCAAGUCACCCACAUCAAGGCUCACCUGCAAGGUUAAAGAAGGGGUGAGUUUGGGGAAACUCAGUAUGUAAGGAAAACCCAUUCAAAGCCCAAGUCAGCUCAAGCCCAUUGGGCCUAAGCCCAUUUAGGUAACAGUGGUACUGGGCCAGAGCCCUUUUCAGAUUACAAUAAACUGGGCCUUAGCCCCUUAUUCAGAUAACAGUAUGGCCCAUAGGCCCAUUUCAAAAUACAUGCAACAUCAGUAAACAUAUGCAAGCCCAUUUGGGGAGACUACUCAACCCGCCAACCACUACACUCCACCCGUACCAGCCAUACACUCCAUGUGGGGAAUAGCUCAACCCACCCAGCCCAACACUCCACAGUUGCAGCCUUGCUGCUCAGUUAACUGUAAAUUGAGGCAAAGCCUCCAGUACGUGGACAAGCCACUUUCAGUACUUCCUCCGUCAAUAUCCCAGUCCCAUGCAUCAAAUAAUAACAACAUGGCAUGCAUUAAAUAACAACAGUCAAACAUGAAUUUAGGUCAAUUUAACCCUAUGGGUAUUUCGGUAAUUUAUCUCCUAAGGGUAAAACUGUAAAUUUUUCACUUUUAAAGGUAUUUCAGUAAUUUAUCUAUUUUAGGGUUUUUCAUGCAUAUUCCUACCUUUCACAUACUAACAGAAUCACUAUCGAGGGUUCUUACCGAAUUGGGCUCGUUGGCCCAUCAUUCCAAUUUUGGCCCAUUAAGCCCAAAAAUAUCGAGGGCACAAAAAUCAUGCACUUUGCAGUCCAAACAUUACAGCUUACCAAAAACAUUAAUCGAUUUACCUCACGAGCAUUCGUACACUCGCAAAUCUACAAAAUACCGGUUUUUGGCAUUUCGGCUUUUCGACUUUUGCCGAUCCAGACUAAGAAAGAGGGUGUUAGUUACACACCUGUUUGCGACGAUAUGCUGACGAGAUCCACACACGAACCGCCUACAAUUGGAUUACUAACACGUUAAUCUAACUAUUCAAAUACAAACUACGUAUUAACCCCUUACAAUAUUCGGCCAACCACACUUACAGAUCAUAGUAAGCUUAUAAGAAAUCAAUAAGCAACUCAUUAACAAAUUUUUGUCAAUGUUUACCACAUAAUCAUAAUUUCACUGUAAGCUGUCUUCCUGAGCAACAGUCACUAAAUCAUUUAUAACUGGAGCUACGAAACUCCAAAUCAAGUGCCGUUAAUUUUCUCUGAAAAUAGACUCAUAUAUCUUAUAUCCAUAAAAUUUCAGAAUUUUUGGUUUGACCAAUCAAUACCAGAUUUUUCUCAAAGUUUCGCAUGUUUCACUAUUUGACUAAUCUGACCACUCUUCAUUACAAAUCAAAUUUCUCAUUGUACAGAAUUCAAAAUAUGUUCUCGUUUAUUUCAUUUGAAACUAGACUCAACAAGAUUUAAUUACAUAAUUUAUUCAGCUUCUAAUUCAUCUCCCACAAUUUAUGGUGAUUUUCCAAAUUCACGUUUUAUUACUAAAUUCACUCUUUCACACAUAACUUGCAUGCAUGUUAUUUAAACAUGUAUAUCACCAAUCAAUCAUCACAUAUCUAUAAUUUUACUUAAGUAUAAUCUCCAUUUCAUCAUUUUAAAGCACAUGUUAGCCAAUUUUUCCCCUUAGCAUCUAAGGCACAUGCAUGCUCAUUUGUUUGGCUCAACUUCACCUAUCUUCCAUUUUUCAUCAAAAGAACAUGAAACAACAACCAUUUCCUUCAUUUUAAUUCAUGACUAAAUGCUCACAACACAACUAAAAACCAAAAUACGCUUCAAGAGUUAAGGUAGAAUCAAGAAGAACUCAUGAACCUCAAAAUAAAAGCAAACUACCAUGAACUUACCUUCAAUUUUUCUUCCCCAAGUGACCGAACAUUCAAGAGCUUUCUUCUCUCCUUUCUUUUCUCUAACUUUCGGCUAUUAUGAACAAAGAUGUACAAAACUUUGUUCUUUUCACCCCUUUUUUUAAAAUAAAAUUUCAUAUUUCAUCCAUUUAAUUCUUUAAUACAAAAGAAAUGAAAUUCCCAUCAUGGAACAUUUACCUAACCCAUUAUCAUGGAACAUUUACCUAACCCAUUAUCAAUUUGUAUCAAUUUGUACCAUAAAUUAUGGAUAUCAAGUGCACAUUUUGUCUACAACAACAUGAUGACUAGCCACUUCAUGUAAAAUGGGAGGUUUGUCAUGCAAAUCCUCCUAUUUUGCACUCCUAUUUAUUUGGCCACUUCAAUUUAGCCUAUAGCAUUUUCAAAUAUUUUCACAUAGGUUCUAUUUCAUAAUUUCACCCCAUUUUUCUUAUGGAACAAAAAUUAACUAAAAUUGUCGGGUUCUAUCUUAAGCUUGGCUUUCUAGAGGCCCACUAACAUAAUUAAACUUAUGCCAACAUUCACAGAAUUCCCGAAAAUUUGAGCGUUACAUUAUAAAUCAAUGAUUAUUUCUAGUAAUAAAAAAUAAUUUAUUUUACUGCAAAUGACAUAUUUAUCUUUAACAGAUAAGUUUGAUAUACUCAAUUUUUUCUUUUUCUUUUUUUGAAUUAUAAUAAUAGAGUAAAGCCUGAAUAAAAAACACGACUAGCGCGACUCGAACUCAAAUCACACCUGGGACAAUGAACAUCCUAUCAAUUUAAAUAAUUGGUGAUACUAAAUCAAGUGAUAUUUGGAUAAAAAAAGUACGUUUUUCCAAGAAAAAAAUUAUUAUUCUCAAUAUUCAUAAGAUGAAUUGGUUGUUGUGGUUUCUAUAAAGCUUAAAUUCAAUUAUACAAAGCAUUAAGACCAAUCUUUUUUUUCCUAAUAACUUAACAACCACCGUCCUUAUUAAACUCAUUUCAAUCAACUUAUGGACUCUAUCAGAAAAUUUGAUAGAGGGAACUCCAUUAACGAUCCUUAUUGCAAAAUCCCCCUCCAUAAGAGCAAUAUCAUCUUCAUCAAACGCUACACCAUUUCCUUUGGAUCCUUGACCAUUAUGCAUUAAUAGGUCAUUGAACCCCAUCGUCCCCCCAAUUGGAUUAGAGUCCAUAAGAUCACCCAAGUCAUUAGGCAGUUCUGCCUCUUGCCGAUGAACCUUUUUCAUAACCCUACCGCCAUUGGCAACGCCCAACGAGGAAGAGGUUAGAGUGUUUGAUUAAAGUGUUUGAUUGGAGCAAUUUAGAGCUUAAGGACUCAAUUGAGUUGUUUUUUUCCCAAAGAACAUGAUUGAUUUUUUUUUAACAGUACAAGGACUUUUCAUACAAAUACUUGAGCUAUAAGAUACGUAGAAAGUUGAAAACUGAAAGGAGGCCAGUAAUUAUACCAAAUCUUUGCCCUAAUUUCUUCUUUUAACUUUUUAAAUUAUACCAAAUCUAUACUUAUCUUGUAAUUUACUUCAAUUCAUAGAAUUCCCAUAAGGAAAAAAAAAAGAAAAAAACAAUUAUAUAGCACAAUUUCAGCGUACUAGAUUUCAAACUUGACAAUUUUUUUUAUUUAGUGUGAUGAUUAUAGUAUUUUAUGAUUGUGUCACAUCAUCACUUAAAUUUUUUAUAAAAAAAAUAUAAUUUCUACGUAAUGACAUGGCACAAUGUUAUAGUGUUAUGUCGUCACAUGGACCAAAAGUAGAAAAUGUUAACAAGUUCCAAGAUUAAUGUGAACUAAUUAAAAAAAAUUACCAAGUCAAGAACUAAAUAUUACUUUAUCCCAUAUUAAAAUGGUUAAAAUAUGUCAUAGGUCAUAGUAGUGUAUUCUUCACGAAUUUAAAAUUAAGUCACUGUACUUUUAUUUUUAAGAACUUACAGCAUGUUUGGUUGGGUGUAUUGGCAUAGCCAAUACACCCCUAAUCGUGGGCCCCACUUAUUACGCCUCUAAUCCUUUGUUUGGUUCAAUGUAUUGCUAUUACGGGGCUAAACCAUUACUGACCUAAUCGGUGAAAUCCACCGAUUUCUAAUCCCUGUCUUUAGCUCAGUUUAGGUGCUGCUUCAAGUUUUAUACCCUGUUUACCCUCCCAAUCGACAGAUCCCUUUUUCGCCUUCUGUUCCUUCCUUCUAGCUUGGGGUUUCUGCCUAUUUGCUCCCUCUGUCCCUCUGCCUAUAAUACUCUCCAGCAAUAUACACACCGACGCACAAGGAAAGCACUAUUGGUAAGCCUUUAUUUCUCCUACCCUGAACUUUUCUCCAGAAACAAUCACUCUUAUCAUGUUUUUCGUUUCCUUCAUGUAAAGCAGUUGCUAUACUUUGCUGGGUCUUUUUUUUUUUUUGGUUUUCGUCAGUGAUGGGAUGUUCUAGUUCGAAGUUAGAGGAUCAAAAGGCCCUCCAAGGAAUAUUUUUGAGGUGAUUAGAGAGAUACAGGUUCAGUUUGUUAAAGCUUUUGAGUCAGGGAGUGAAAUUGUAAAGUUGCUUGCGGUGGGAACACUUCCCUAUCACCGAAAACAUGGUAAUGAUUUUCAUCAUUAUUUUACUGGAUUGUUGUGUUAUUUUACCUAUUUGCUCUAAUAGUAAUACUAGCUGCGGGGUUUGGUAACUUUUCUGCAACAGCUUCGAAGAUGUUGCAAGUAGUUACUCAUUCGUUAUCAUUAGUAUCAUCUCAUCCAUCUACUUCUAAGACUGAUUCAUCGGCUAAAAAUACUGAUCCGGCUUUUCUAGACUUCAAUGAAGAAUUGGCCAAGAAACAGAGAAACAUUUCCUCUACAUUGCAGAAGUUGUAUCUUUGGGAAAAGAAACUCUAUUAUUUUGCUUUUUUUGUAUAUUUUAUUUGUUAAUUUGAAGCCUUUAUGUUUCUCUUCAGUUCCUGGAAGAGUUUGAGUGGCUGUGAGAUUACGUCCACAUAAUGUAGAAGAGUUAGUAGCAGAUGCUGAUUUUGCUGAUUGUGUAGAACUUCAACCAGAGGUAUUAUGUUGCUAUCUGACAGUUGGAUAUGCAGGGAAUACAAUUCUCAGUGACCUUAAUUUUUUUAGAUGUCUUUAUCUACUUUCUUUUAUCUGUUUGAUCUUGAAGUACAAAUGAUUGAGGAAAAGCUAAGAGAAGGGCAUAUCGAUUAUAUUUUGUCAGGGUUGGCAUCUUGAGGGAUGCAUCAGCCUAAAAGUGAGUUUAUUCAAAUGAAAAUGGAGAAAAGUAGCAAAUUCUUGAAUAAUUAUCACUUCAUUUCAAUUAGUCAAGAAGGAUUUAGUUUCUAACCACCUAAGAAAAAGUGAAGUCGACAUGCCUGUACUUGUUCACGUAGCUCACCUAACUAGCUUUUAGAUUUAUUGAAAUUAACUCCCAUCCAGUUUCUGUAAGUGUUUAUUACUUGAUUUUGGUAAAGUUCUCACCAAUGCUUCAACUUUUCUCUUUCAGCUUAAAAGGUUAAAGCUUCGCAAAAACAACUGGGACACAGACACCUAUGAGUUUGAUGAAGCGCUGACAAAGUUUGCAUCGUAAAAACGUGUGUAUGAAGUUGUUGCAAAGCCAGUUGUUGAGGUUUGAGUACAGGGCUUUUCUAAUUGUACCAGAAUUUGUUAGAAUUUUACUUGUUAUUAGUUAUUCUUCCUUGGCAACAGCAGAGGCGGUGGCUGAAAAUAGUUUCAACCUAUCAUUGUGUUUUGUGUCGGUCUUCUCCCAAGUUAUCAAUUGUUUUGUUCUGCUGUACAUAACUGCUGUGUUUGGUCAUAGCUUAUAAAGGAUUUGGUGCCUUUUUUGAUGCAUUAUUCAUUUUAUUAACAAGGUCAUUGUGUAUUUGUGUUCAUAGGGUGUUUUGGAUGGUUACAAUGGGACAAUCAUGGCUUAUGGUCAGACUGGUACUGGCAAAACAUAUACUCUUGGUCGACUUGGGGAGGAAGAUACAGCUAAUCGUGGAACAAUGGUCCGUGCUAUGGAGGACAUUUUGGCAGAAGUUUCACCAGAAAUUGAUUCUGUUUUGGUCUCCUAUUUGCAGGUUGCAUAUUAGAUAUUCUUUUCUAGGAGAUACAUAUUACUGCAGAUCUUGGUGUUUGAUUUCUGAUAUUGUCAUGAAUUGUGCUAAUUGGUCUAAGCUUACUUUUCUUUUAGAAUUUUUUUUUUAUCAUUUUCUCCAAAGUUACAAGAAUUUUAAAUUUUAAUGUGCCUAAUAGCUCUGUUCAUUGAAAAUUUUAAAUUUUCUCCAAAGUUUCUGCAUUCUUCCUGAAUGGGCCAUGUGCUAUAUUUUUGCAUUCUACUUUGUAUGCUUUAAUUAAUGCAGAUGAUUAGGCUUUGUAAUUUAGAUAUCACAAGGUUUGAUUAGAUUAAUGAAUUACUGCUAGGAGAACAACUAGUGCUGGAAAAAGAGAAGCAGCACUCUGUUCUGAACUAGAUCACAUAAACCUAAGACAUGAUUGUUCAUUUUCUCAUUUUCCUUGUCCUUAUUCUUGCUCUACAUUUCUUGUCUUUCCAGUUUAAUGUUGUCCUGCAUUGUUGCUAUUUUCUGCACUAAUAAUUGAUGGUUAUAUGUUUGUGAUUUUAGGUAUUGGUAAGACGUUCACGAUGCAACCAUUACCUCUCAGAGCUGCACAAGACCUUGUUAGAUUCUUGCAUCAGCCAAUUUACCGCAACCAGAGAUUUAAAUUGUGGCUUAGCUAUUUUGAGAUAUAUGGUGGCUUAGCUAUUUUGCUUGCUUACUUUCUGAGGCUGUCAAAGAACAAGCACUUGGCUGGUGAUUUCUUCAGCCUUGCUGACCUGAGCCACCUACCAUUUACGCAGUACUUGGUGGGUCAAAUGGGAAAGGAAUACAUGACAACCAACAGUAAGCAUGUGAGUGCUUGGUGGGAUGACAUUAGCAGCAGACCGUCCUGGCAGAAGGUUCUCCAGCUCUAUGCUCCUCCUUUCUAAGAAUUGAAAAUGAUGCAAUCUGGGGAUGGGGUCUUUUUAAUGAUGUCUGCUUUGUUGUUUAGCAGUUUGGUUUGGUUUGGGGUCUGGUCUUUGACUGUUUUAAGAGGCCAACUAGUUAUCCUAUGUUAGGUAUAGUUACAAUAAAAUGUUGGUAGGGGUAGGGGGUUACAGUUAUCGUUUUGUUUGCCUAUGUUUGAUAUUAUGAAUAAAGAUGAAGAAAUCAUGUAGAUAUCAAAGAGAAUCAAGUGCUCAAUUGAAUGUGCUUCAAAGGCAAUUUUUUUUUUUAUUUUCUAUGGUUUUAUUACUUAUUGAUUUUCUUUUUGUUGGUUUAAAUCUUCGAAAUAAUUGUCCAAAAGGUUUUGGUAGUGUUGGCAUUGGCAUUAAUAAAAGUUUGAGCUUACUAUGAGUAUAAUUUGAACCCAAAUGUGGUAGUGUUGGCAUUGGCAUUAAUAAAAAUUUGAGCUUACUAUGAAUCUAAUUUGAACUCAAAUCAUAUUUGAGGUGAUAAAUACUUUAUCCAUCAAGUUAAUAUAGGGUUCAAGUUAAUUAUGGUGUUUAUUUAUUGUUAAUAAUUUAUACAAACUUAUGAUUAUAAGUAGUGUAAAAAAGGUAAAUUAUUUACUAUGAUAUCAAACAAGUGAAGUGGCUUAAUAUAAGUUAAUAAUGUUUAUGCAGAAUAUAAUUCUCAAAUUAUAUUAUGAUUUUAGUAAAUUAUAUAAGAAUAUUUAUUAUUAAGAAUUUAUGAAAUUAUAUAUCAUUAUUAAAUUAUAUUUAAUAUUAAUUAUUUUAAAUUAUAUAAAUUCAUAUAAGAAAAUUUAUUAUCAAGAAUUUUAUGAAAUUAUAUAUUAUUAUUAAAUUAUAUUUAAUUAAAAUAUAACUUUUUCUUAGUAUAAGUUAAUUAUGUUUAUGCAGAAUAUAAUUUUCAAGUUAUAUAUUUAAUAAUAAUUAUGUUAAUUUAUAUUUUAUAGUAUCAUAUAUUAUGAUUUGAGUAAAUUAAUAUAAGAGUAUUAAUUAUUAAGAAUUUUAUUAAAUUAUAUAGUUUAAUUAAAAUAUAUUUAAUAAUAAUUAUGUUAAUUUAUAUUUUACAGUAUCAUAUAUUAUGAUUUCAGUAAAUUAAUAUAAGAAUAUUAAUUAUUAAGAAUUUCAUUAAAUUAUAUAUUUUAAUUAAAAUAUAUUUAAUAAUAAUUAUGUUAAUUUAUAUUUUACAGUAUCAUAUAUUAUGAUUUCAGUAAAUUAAUAUAAGAAUAUUAAUUAUUAAGAAUUUUAUUAAAUUAUAUAUUUUAAUUAAAAUAUAUUUAAUAAUAAUUAUGUUAAUUUAUAUUUUACAGUAUCAUAUAUUAUGAUUUCAGUAAAUUAAUAUAAGAAUAUUAAUUAUUAAGAAUUUUAUUAAAUUAUAUAUUUUAAUAAAAAUAUAUUUAAUAAUAAUUAUGUUUAAAUAUGAUUAAAUUAUUUAUUAUUGAUAAUAAUAAUCUUAUUAUAAUUUAAAUAACAAUAACAAUAAUCAUUUACCAAAACAAAUUUAUGCUAAGGGUAUUCUAGUCAUUUUAGUUUUUUCCAUUAUGCUAUUACACCUCUAUUCCAUUCAACCAAACACAAGAUUACUAUUACGCCUCUAUUCCAUUACAUUCAACCAAACAGUGGAUUAGCUAUUACACCUCUAAUCCAAUACACCUCUAAUCCCAAUACACCUCUAAUCCAAUAUAUCUCUAAUCCAAUACAGCGAACCAAACGCACCCUUAGUUCCUCUAAUUUUUAGAUUUUAAAAUUCAGGUCUAAUUGUUAAAUUUAUAAAAAAAAUAUAAGGAGUUAUGGGCAUAUUAUAACCUAUUGAAAUCAUCUACCAAAAUUAGCUGCUUCAUAAUAAUAAUACAUUCAUGGUGUAAGUGAAAAUAAAAUUAUGUGAUUUAUAAAAAAUAUAAAAGAUCAAAAACAUCCUUAAAAUAGUACAAUUCAAUUUGUAAAGUGAGAGUAUUUUUAUCUUCUUAAUUGAGUUGGUACAUAAUUAACCCGUAACACCAACUUAAUUAGGAGUUUUAUAAUAAGUACAGAUAGAUAAUAUCUGUAUCGGUUAUCUGUAAGUGUAAUAAAUUUUAUUUGAAUUGGAUUGAUUUAUAAUGAAUGUUUUGUAUAAUUCAUAUUAGCUUAAUUCAAUUAGAAAAGGAAUGACAUAACAUCAAAUUUAGCUCUCAAAAUAUUUAUAUUUUUUUUGUCAAAUUAAAUUAAAUUUGGACUUCAACCUUUUAAAAAAAGUCAAAUUUAAUAGAGAAUCUUUCAAAAAAGAGUAAAAAUAUUUUUUUUAAUUAAAAAACUGACUACCUAUAAGGCGAUUCGCAUGUACUCUAUGCUAUUUUUUAAAUUUUUUAAUUUUUUGAAUAUUUUUAUAAGCUUUAAACUAUUUAUUCACGUAGUAUAUAAGAUAAAUAUUGUCAUGUCAAUAUAAAGCAUAUGCAAACUACUAUGCGGGUUGCCAUGCCAACAUCAUUAAAAAAUUAAUAUUGUUGAUACAAUGGAUCAACAAGGGAGGAGACAAUGAGAAGAAGGUGAUGGGAGUUUAGAACGAUUCACCCUUGUAGAGUGGAGAAUGGUCAAUGGUAAAAAUGAGGAGAGAAAAUACGGAAAAAAAAAAUGGCCUUGGUGGCCGUAAAAUAGAAUAGAAGAAGAACCCCAAAAUAAGACCCAUCAUCUUACCCUAAUCCCAAUAAGGGUAGAUAUAUGGGUUAUUGGUGGAAUUUACAUUGCGAUCAAAAUGUUCAUAAUUUCGUAUGUAUUUCUGUUAAAAAUAGAGAUUUGAUUUUUUUUAAAGAUUAAUAAUUAAAUUUAAUUUAAAAAAUAAGAAUCAAAUUGAUAGAAAAUAUACAUAUGGCAUUAUACCAAAAAGAAUAAAUUAAAUUUUUAAAUAAAAAAAUUUAAAAGAAAAUAGUUUUAUUUUGAACCUGUCGGUCCGACCAAUUAAGUGAGUGUAGGAAGGGGGUUUGGUGGCAACAUCACAUGCAAAAAGCAAAAAAACUAAGUUGAAGAACUUAAUUUGAUCACAUUCAAAAUCUCUACAUACGAUUUGGGGGAUUUGUUGUUCAACAACAAAGCUAUGAUUUAUUUGUGACGUGUUCCAUUUCUUCACAUUUCACACCUUCCUUUGGAUUUCAUUAUAUUUAUUGCUUUCAUCUACACACCUCUUCCUCCUAACUGUUUUCUACCUUUGCCCUAUUUUUAUACAUUAUUUCUCUCUUUUUCCAUGCAUUUUUAACCUACUUUUGCCAUUUCCACAAUAUAUAAUUAUAGUCAAUCAUGUUUUAUCUUAAUUAUUAUAAGAAACGUUGAUAUUAACUGUAGAACGAUCGCAAAGUAAUAAGAACACACAAAUACGUAAAAAUCCUUUCGAGAAAAAAAUCAUAGGUGGAGGAAAAGAAAUUUAUUAAUGUUCAAAAACGAAUGAUAUAAGAGGGGUUUCGAUUACAUCUAUUUAAGAGUUGAAAAUCCCUUUUCUAAUCAAAGUCAAAUAGUAGAAGUAUAGUUCUAUACGGACUCAACUUGUGUAGCCUCUAGCCCCACAAAUCCUUUAUUUUGUAACAAGUGAUGAGAUUCGAGUCACACAAUCUCUAACAUUAAUAAUUUAUUAGAGUUUUAAUUUUGAAAUUCAAAUUGAUGUAAUUUCAUGUUAAAUUUACUACUUUUAACUUAAUUCAUUGCUUUACUUAGGGACUCAGCUAUAAAAUUUUGGUGUUCAAAGUUAAAAAAGAUUUGUAUAAUUUUUCGAAGGAAGCUAAAAUUGAAUAUUUUAAUUUUUAUGAGGUAUUUAAAAUAAUAAUAAUAAUUGUUGUUUGGUCAAAGCCCCUGGUGACACCCUUGGUUUUAACAUCAGAUGUAAUAAUUUCGACAAUUAGCCAUUGGUGUAAUGAAAAUGAACAUGUUAUAUCUUUGUUGACUUGAGGUUCUGGGUUCAUACAUGAAAACCCCAUCACUUAUCUCUUAUAAAAGAAAUGUAAUAAUUUGAUUUUAUGAUCUUAAUUCCCUUUAUUUAGUAUAAUUUCAACAUAAAAACCUUAUUUUUAUAUUUGUAUUUAUUCCCAAUUUGUCCUAAUAAAAUUGUUAUAUAUUAUUACAAAAAUUAAGUGGAUAAUCAAGUAUCUUUGUUCUUUAAUUACACUUACAUAGAUUUCAAAUGUUUAUUGAAUUCUUUAAUCAUAUGAUCAGAGAUUCGAUCUUUAUCUCGUGGGAAUGGAGCAUAUUUCAUAGCAAACCUUUAUGUGAUCGAAAGGUUUGAUUCCUGCUCAUAGAAAUAGAGCAUUUACUUCUUUGAAAAAUAUUUACAAUAAAAAAAUUAAUCACUUAUAUUAAUGAUAAAUACCCUGAUUAUAAUAAGAAAUUAAAAUGAAUAUUUUUAUUACAAGACCAAUCGCUUUCACUUUGAUAGGAACAAAUUCUUAAAAACCUCGAUUUUUUAAUAAAAUUAAAAAAAAAUAAAAAAGAAAAGGAUUGAAAAACUUUUUGACUUUAAAGUUUACACAUUUGUAUCGAACGUAAUGAAAGUGUAAAAAAAUUGAACGGAGUUUAGUCCACUACCAACGUACGGCUAAUGCACGGCGUAAUACUUGGCCCGAUGAAUGCGGUUUGUGGGUCCCACUUCUCUCCAUUUUGGUCUCUCUUUUUUCUGCCCUUUGAAAUUUGCCGUUUUUGUUUGUAGAAUCAAUUAUUUUGAAAAUAAUCCCCAAAUUAACGUCUGAAUGUAUAAUAAGUCUAAUAUUUUCCAAAUGCAUGCAUGCAUUAGCUGUUUUUAUUUGACCAUUUUCCACUUGUUUUUGUCCCCUAUUUUUCUAUAUUUUUUUCCUAUUUUUAUUUAAGCAUUAACUUUAUCUAAACAUAAUUAAAUAAUAAUUAUAAAUAAAGAUUAAAAUUUUAAACCCGACCCAAAAUCCUAAAUUCAAGAGUAAUUAAUAUUUAUUUAUAAUAGUUACGGUUAAUGUUUAAUUAUGUUUAAAUAAAAUUACUAGCAUUUAUUUACAAGUCCAUUUUUUUGUUUAAUUUAAUAAUGAUGUGUCGUAUUAUUAUUCACUAAUGGUGCAUGAGACUUAUACACUGAUGGCACACCAAAUAUUUUACUAUACUCCUACAGGAUACUUAUCAGCUCAUUGCUUGUGGAAUUUAAAAACCUACUGAUAAUGUAUCAAAUAUUUUCCCUAAACCUUUACCGAAUAAUAUCCAAAAACUCAUAAAAUAAAAUCUAUUUUUGUAAAAAUAAGCACAAAAAAAUCAAAAUCUAGAUUUAAUAUAAAAAAUCAAAUCAAAUUAUCAUAAAAGAUUAAAAAAUAUAAAAAAAUCCUUAUUUUCAAUAAAUAAAGUUAUUUAAAAAAAUCAAUUUAUAGAGAAAUUUGUGGGUAGAUAAUCCCUUGAUUAGAGCUAUUGUAAUUAGUGAUCUUAAUUAGAGCUAUCUAAAAAAAAGUUAUUAUACUAUUUGGUACUUAUGUUUAGUGUUAAUGUUCAAUUUGGUAUCUUAGUUUUCUUUUUCUAAUAUGGUACUUAAGUUUGGCUUUAAUGUUUAAUUUCAUACCCACGCCAAUAGACAUAGAUACUUAAUUCGAACAAAAAAAUUUCAGGUAUUGAAUUCAAUAUUGAAGUUAAACUCAUUUAUUUAACUAACACAAAAAAAAAGUAUUGAAUUGAAAAAACUCAUGUACCAAAGUGAACAUUGAAGAUAAACUCAAGUAUCAAAUUGAGAAUUUAAAACAAUCUUAUUAUAAGUUCUGCUCAUAUUUGCUCUUUUUGACACAAUAUCUAAAAUUAGGCAUAGCCCCACCUCAACCCAUAAGUAGGAGGAUAACAAGCUUUAGCGCACUUAAACCCAUGUCUUUCUACAUUAACAACAAUUCUCAAAUCAAUUGAGUUAAAGCUCGAUCAUCAAUACGAAACGUGAAAUAAUAUAUGAACUUAAAAAGAAUAAUAGCAUAAUUAGAAGCAAAUCUAUCCGUACAAUUGUUGACCCCACUUUUCCCUCCAUUUCAAGCUUGGAAAGAAGGAACAUGGAAUAAAUAAACAAAAGAAAGGUAGCAAGUAGGCAAAGAAGUGUUCUACAAUUGAUGGCACAACUUGUAGCUAAAGCAAAGCAAUUUUCAUAUAGCCCCAAAGUUCAUAAUUCCACUCUACACCCCUUGCCUUUUCAUCAAAUCGCUCACUUUUUUUGUUAUAAUAAUUGUUAAGAUACAAGGAUAAUUAUGUCAUUGAAAAAUAUAUUGUAAGAUAAAUCGCAAUAUAAGAAUAACAAAUAAGUUGUCAACGAGGUACUAGUUCAGUUCGUACCGAGGAUGUUGAAGACUCUUGAAAUAAAGGUGAUUUCAAAAAUAAAUUUAGGGGUCUAAAAUUGAAUUAUAAAUUAUUAAGAUGUCAAAUAUAGAUUUUAUUAUGUAUUAAUUUAUUAUUUUAUCUUUUUGAAGAGAUUAUAUAGAAUAUUUUUUAUUUUUGGGAGACCAAACCAUAAUUUUCCCAUAUAUUAAUUUAUAAUUUGAUCAUUCAUAAAGGGGCUAGAAUUGCCUACCCCCUUGUAUGUGCCCUUGCUUGAAAGAUGCGGAUUAGGGUGAAAUAUCUCUAUUAAUAUUGAAUUUUUUAUCGAGUUUAGUGUUACGAGUUAAUCAGAUACCAGUUUAAUUAGAUAAUAACAAAAAUAUCCUUAUUUUACAAUGUAAAUUAUAUCUCUACUAACAUUAAACUUUUUCUAGAGUUUGGUGUCAUGAGUCAAUUAGGCAUUAAUUUAGUUGGAAAAUGACAAAAAUACCCUUACUUUGCAAAGUAAAAUAUAUUAUUUUGAGGGUAUUUUUAUCAUUUUAUAUCUUUUAUAUAGAAAAAUAAAAAUAUAAACAUGUGAUAGGGUUCCAACACAAAUCUAUAGGGUUCCAACCCAAAUCUAUAGUUUUUAACAUUUGUAGUUUACCAUUUAUAACAAUUUUUUAUAGAUAUAUUAUUAUAUAAUCCUAUUUUUCACUUAUAUUGUUGGUGUGCUAUAAUCAAAGAAUUUAAAGGUAGUUUUAAAAAUGUGUAGAAGGAAUAAUAUUUGGUAUAUUGUCAGUGAAAUUUUUAGACUCCACAAAUAGAAUUAGGGAGUUAACAAGUGUCUUAUAAGAAUAUAGUAAAAUAUUAAAAACAUAUAUUUAAAAAAAGAAGAAGAAAAAACACAUGAUAAUUUUUUAAGCCUACUAUGAAAUAAAAAAUGUACAUUUUAUCAGUAAAUGUUGGGUGCAAUGGUAAGUCACAUUGUAUUCCCAAGAAGAGAUACAUGUUUAAACCUUAGAGAUGACAUUGUUAGAAGGGACAGCUAUGAACCCCGAACAUGAACAGUAAAACGGAUAUAAAAAAUGAGAUUAUAAUUAAAUGGAAAAAGAAUUGAAAUUAAAUGGGUUACCGCCAAGAUGAAACUUGAAAGAGUAAAAGAAAAAAAAAAAAGGGAACUCCAUUGCUGUAAUUUGCCGUAAUUAACUAGAGACCAAAAUUGCACUAAUUAAGGAGAUAAAAUGAUAAUCUUUGGAUCUGCAAAAAUUUUCAACUUUUUUGACAGUGUUCAUAUCUUCCCUUUUUUUUUCUCUCUCUUCCACUCCAUAAAUAGCAGUUCACACUCCACCCUUAACCCAUUCAAACCUCCACUCAUCCUUUAGCUGUUUCCCUCUGUUUCUUUAGUCAAAGUAUACAAUAUGGCAAUUUGGGUUGAUACUUGCUUGGUUUCAUUGCUUUUCAUCAUUGUUGCUGUUGAAGCUAGAAUUCCUGGUGUUUAUUCUGAUGGUGCUUGGCAAAGUGCCCAUGCCACUUUCUAUGGUGGCAGCGAUGCUUCUGGCACAAUGGGUACUUUUUUAUUUCUCAAAACGAAGAUGAUUUUGACUUCACAAUCUGACCUUUUUUUUAAUGAUUUUUUAGGUGGAGCUUGUGGCUAUGGAAACUUAUACAGCCAAGGCUAUGGUGUCAACACAGCUGCUUUGAGUACUGCUCUUUUCAACAAUGGGUUCAGCUGUGGUGCCUGUUUUGAAAUCAAAUGUGUAAAUCAACCACAAUGGUGUCAUUCUGGUAGUCCUUCAAUUUUCAUCACAGCAACCAAUUUUUGCCCUCCAAAUUACGCUCUUCCAAAUGACAAUGGCGGAUGGUGUAACCCUCCUCGUCCUCAUUUUGAUCUCGCCAUGCCAAUAUUCCUUAAGAUUGCUGAGUACCGUGCUGGCAUUGUCCCUGUCUCUUAUCGCAGGUAAACAAACAAAAAGUCUUCCUUCCCCUUUUUUUUUCCCGAGAAACAAACAGAUAUAAUUACAUUUUUUCUUUUUCUUUUUUGUUAUUCUACAGGGUUGCAUGCCGUAAGAGAGGUGGAAUCAGGUUCGCAAUCAACGGUUUCCGUUACUUCAACUUGGUUCUUAUUACCAACGUGGCAGGCUCUGGUGAUAUCGUGAAGGCAAGCGUUAAAGGAUCGAAAACAGGGUGGAUGAGCUUGAGCCGAAACUGGGGCCAAAACUGGCAAUCCAAUGCCGUAUUGGUCGGCCAAUCUUUGUCUUUUAGGGUCACCGGCAGUGACCGUAGGACUUCUACUUCAUGGAACAUUGCUCCUUCCAAUUGGCAGUUUGGUCAAACCUUCACAGGAAAAAAUUUCAGGGUCUAAAAUAUGAAGGGGUGGGAGAGUAGUUGGGUUACUUUCCUGGGAAAAUGAGGGAAAGUGUGUGGUUAACAUUGUUUUGACAGUGGGGAAAAUUGGGUUUUUACUUGUUUAUCUAAUGGGGCUAUUUACUUUUAGGUUUUACUUUUUUUAUCUUUGGGGUGAAAAGGUGAGAGAGGAUAAAGGUUAAAAAAAGUGGAAUGAAAUGGGGGCUGAAGUGGCUUGGAAAGAAGUUGUAGCCCGCAGCUUUAAUACUUUUUCUUUUUCUAUAUGUUACAUAAGUUGAAUUUAAUGAAAGGAUGGUCUUAAUUUACUAAUUGUUUCUUGUGUACUUGCUUUUACCUUAAUUUUACGUACAGAUUAAGAUUAAUGUUUUCGGAAUUUAUUGUCAAUUCUUAUCUGCUUGAAUGAUAAGUAAAAUUUUGACUUAUAAUUUUGUUGAGGUUGAAAUUAGUACUAAUUUUUUACUCCUAUUUAAAAGUAUAUCUCUAAUCUAAACUCAAUAUAAAUUGAAGAAGGUUAAAAAAGUAAUCAAAAUUAAUCUAAAAUAAUAUUUUAUUAAGAGAAAAAAAAAGUGAGAUUGGUAAUGAUACAAAGGUUUCUUCAUUGUAAUCUGCUAUAGCCGAAAGAGGGUUAUUGGAUUCCUAAUGUAACAUGCAAUAUUUGAAUGUCUUUUUCUUGACUACCUAAGGCUAAGAUCAAGAAUUAGGAGAGCAUUGGUCUCUAUUUCCAUUUCACUUUUGUUCUGGUUUUUUUUUUUUUGACUUGAUAACAUGUACCAAAGUCUUAUCUCAAGCUGUUUUUUUUGUCUCAUCUUCUUUCUUUAAAAUUUAACAUUUAACGACAAAAUAAUUACAAAAAGUGCUCAUGGUCACUGAUAGCAAAUUUACUUUGCUGCAACCCUUUUUAACACUCCCAAUUCUCCAAUUCAACGACCUUAAUUGGAGUACAUUCAGUUUAUAAUUUGAUUGGUAUGUGUAUUGUUUUCUAAUUUAGGAGGAUGUGGAUUCGAGUGAGCUGAAGCGUAUUAUCUUUUUAUUUAUAGAUUGAGAAUGGGCUAUGGUUAGUUCUAUAUAUUAUGUCAAAAAGAACAGAUAUGAUCAGAGCCUAAUUUGAUUUAGUAAGGUAGCUAUUUGGUGUAAAAAGAAUAGUGGCAAUAAUAUUAUAUUAUUUGGAUAGAUAAAUAUAAAAAAUGGAUAAGUAUAAAAUUGUAAUGGCUUAAAUUCAAUGUUAUCGGAACAGUGGUUUCGUAACCACAAAUUUGAUUUAAAGAGAAAUUUAUUUCAAUAUUUUUGCUUAAAAAUUUAUAUGAUAGGAAAAUCGUAUGAAAAUAUUGAUAGGAAAAUUUUAUCAAUUUAGUGAUUAGUUAGAAAAAGAAAUUAUUGAAGAAAUUGGGUAAAAUAAGGUAUCGGGACCUCUAUCUCGUAAAACUGAGUCAAAAAUAAUUUUAUAAAUAUUUAUGAAAUGUUAUUAAUGUGGUAUUAAAAUUUCGUUAGGAAAUUUUAAUGUUUGGGUAGUCAAUUAAAUGAAAAGGACUGAAUUGUAAUAGGUGUAAAAGUUGCUAGAGUGAUUAAAUAGCUUAUUAGUCUAAUGAGAAAGGAUAUAAAAGGCAAUUAGACCCAAAAUUUAUUUGGGAUGGACGGCAAGGGUAUGAAAUCAGCAGAAAAAUUGAUAAAUUAAGGGUAAAAUUGGAAUAUUGCAAAAUUAACUAAAUAAAACUAGGACUAAAUAGGAAAUAUCUAGAUUUUUCUUCAUUUCUCUUCAAUUCCAGCAGCUAAAAAUGCCAUAGGAGGGUUCUCUAAGCUGGUAUUUCAUAAUUUUUGCACCAAGUGAGUUAAUCCUUGCCUUUUUCUUGUAAUUUUUGUGUUUCUAAGACUUUUACAACUAGAUCCUACUAUUAAAUUCAUUAGUUUUUGAUUUCAUGGAUGAAAUUUAAAGUCACAAUGGUUGAGUUCUGUAAGUUUAUGAUGAAAUAGAAUGAAAUUAAAGCUUUAAUUUGUUUAUGAGAUGAUUUUAUUAGGCAAUUUCAAUGGAAAUUGAUUUUUGGGACCUAAUUGUGAAAAUGUUUGGAAUUAAAGUCUAUUGCUGAAAUUCUGAUUUCUAAAGGUUGUAAAAUAGUUUAAGGUGAUAGAAUAAAAUGUUAAUUGAGAAAAAUCAGCUCAAUUGAGAGGCUAAUUGAGUAGGGAUGAAAUUAUCAUUUAUUAAAAGUUUAGGGGAAAAAUGGUAAUAAACAGCUUGAACUAAAACAGUUUGGACAGCAGCAGUAGACUAACUUUGAAAAAUCACCAAAAAUUGUAGGAAUCGAAUUAGAAGAUGAACAAAAUAUAGAAUUAAAGCUUAUUGAGUCUAGUUUCUCAUAGAAGAAAUAUUGUAAGCAAUGGAUUUGUAAAUUUUGAGAUAUAAUGAAUUUUGUGAGACAAGGUCAGAAUGAAUUCGGGUUCCCCUGUUCUAACUUUGAAAAAUUAUAAAAAAUUGAAUAAAAAUAAUUAGGGACUUAAAUUUAUAUGUCUAGAAUUCUGAAUGAGUCUAUUUUUAAUAGAAACAAACAAGAACAUCAUUUGAAUUCUGUAUAAAGAGAUAAUUUAUUUUUAGUGAAGAAGGGUCAGAACUGUUAGACAACAGAACAGGGGUGACUUUGAAGAAUAAAAUGUACUGAUUGGCUAAACCAAAAAUUAUGAAAAUUUUAUGGUAAAAAUAUAUAUGAGUCUAGUUUCAGGAAAAAUUAACGGAUCUUAAUUUGGAGUUCCGUAGCUCAAGUUAUAAAUAAUUUAGUGACUAUGACUCAAGUAGACAGCUUUGAAUGAACUAUAAAUAAUAGUUGAAUUAUAGAGAAUGUUGCAUAUGAACAUGAAAUGUAUUAAAUUGAUAACUAAAUUUAUUUAUUUAGAUCCAGAAGAUUCAAAUACGAAGCUAGAUCGAGGAAAGGAAAAAGUUCGGGAUUAAUAGAUUUUUACUGUUUACAAACAAGUAUCAAGGUAAGUUCAUGUAACUUGAAUUAUAUUCUUAAAUGCUUGAAAUGCAUGUUUUUGAUAUGAAUAUGAUUUGAAUGUUCAUUGUAUGAAAAUUUAUGAAACAUUGAUAUAUUUGAUAAAAUGGGAAGAAAUCCCGUUUGAAUGAAAGGAAAAUUCGAUGGAUCUCUGAAAAGGAAUUGACGGUAAAAAGGAUCUAGCCCGGACGGGUGAUCCUAUCCUGAUAUAGCCCUCCCGAAGAAUAUGUGUAAAAUGGAUUUAGCCCGGACGGGUAAUCCGAAUUAGGGUCUGAAUUUAGCCUGGACUGGUAAUUCAGAUCCAAGCUCAUUAGAGUAAUUGUCGUUGCAGGGGAUUUAGCCUGGACUAGUAAUCCCGACAAUACUCUAUGAGUUUAUAUUGCAAGGGAUUUAGCCUGGACUGGUAAUCCCGCUGCAAGGUUGAGGUUCGCGGGAGUGUGCUCUCUGAAAUGGAAAUGUGCGCACAUGAAUAUGAAUUGACGGACCCGGAAUUGUACACUAAAAGUGUAACUCUGAAAAUCCAUCGAAAUUCUGAUAAAUUCAACGGGAUAAAUAUGAAAAAUAAUAAGGGAAUGAAAAUCAUGGUAUUGAUGAGUACAUCAAUCAUGGUAUAUAUAUAUUAUUGAUACAUGGAAAUUAUUGUACUAACUUGAAUGUUGAGUUUGUGCAUGUUAGGGUAAUAAUGCAUUGAAUGGAUAUAUGAAUGUUUAUUAUAUUGUAUUGAAAAUAUUAGGUAAGUAUAAUUCUUGUUACAUGAGCUUACUAAGCACAAAGUGCUUACCCCGUUACCUUUUUCCCUGUUUUGUAGUGUUAAGAGCUUGAAGGUCGGAUUUGGUCGGAGACACAUCACAUUGUCAACCUCAGGAUUUCGGUAUAUAAAGAAACUUUAUUUUGGAAAUCAAUGGCAUGUAUAAGCUAACAAAGUAAAUGUUAACGUGAAAUGAAUGUAAAGUUAGCCAUUAGUAUGGUUAACAAACCUGGUUAUAGAUAUGUGAUAACGUUAUCUUAUAUAAAUGCAUGAAUCUAUCAUGAAAAUAUGUUGAAUUGAAAAAAAAAAUUAAUUCGUAAACUCCGGUAAUGCCUCGUACCCUAUUCCGGCAAUGAAUACGGGUAGGGGUAUUACAAAAAUAAUGUUUUUACUCUUAAAUUAACAUAAAUAAUAUUUUAUGUAUGUUAUUAAUAGAUUAAAUUACACUUAAGGUCACUAAACUAUUAGUAAGUUUAUAUUUUGGUCACGUGACUUCAGAAAGUUAUAAAAUGAUCAUUGAUCUAUUUGAAAGUUUUUAUUUAAGUCACUAGGCUAUUAAGUUUUUUUAAAAUGGUCCGGCUAGUGAGCUUCAAGCGACAAUUUGAUGAUCGGUACAAUGGAUCAAUACCCAAUAACAUACCUUAAAUCCAAGUCGAUCUAACAGUUAAUGUCGGAGACCAGAGAAGAAAACUAUUUGGAUUUUGGUUUGCAAAUUUAUGACAUUCAAAGUUAUUUUUAUGAAAAAAGCUUAAUUGCAUAAGAGAAGGAGAAUAAGAGCUUUUAAUUGGUACAUGUGGUGCAAACAGAAAAAGCCAUACAAUAGUAAUUUUAACAAUCCAAUGACUUAAAUGAAAAUUUUUGAAGAAUUUAAUGACUUUUUUAUAAUUAUUUUUAAAUUAAAUGACUAAAACAUAAACUUACUCAAAUUUUAAUGACCUUAAGUAUAGUUUACCUUCUUUUCUAUUUAUAUGACAUUUACUUUCUAUCACUUUUGCUAGGUGUGUUGACUUGAUCACAUGUAAUGAAGUCUCAUGCUUGAACUAGCUUCUUCUUUUUUUUGUUAAUUUUAAUUUUCUAUUCAAUAAUUUUCAAUUAAUAUUAAUAAAAAAUAUUUAAUUAUAAAAAUAUUUUAAUUAUUAUUAAAUUAAAUUAUAAAUUAUUCAUAUGUUAAACAUAAUGUAUUUUUAAUUUAUAUAUGUUAGUCACAUUGUAAUUACAAAGAAUAGAUCCAAAUAAUUAUAAUCAGAAUUAAUCAUUAUAAAGCACAAUUAGACAAAUAAUAAAAAUAUAUCUAAACCUAAAAUAGAAUAAAUCUUAUAUUUGGACCUAAAUAUAGUGGGACAUAAAUUAGAAUAAAUAUAGACUAAGAAAUCACAUCAAAUUUACACAGAAUAAGACUCGAGCUUGGGAUCCUGAAUUUCUCAAAGCCUUAAUCUUAUCCAUUAAGCUUUACACAGAAUAAGUGGACAUAAUUGAAACCAUAAGGAAACUAAAUGUAUUUUACACUAAAUAUAAGGAAGUAAGUAUCUUUUACCCUACUCUAUAAUUUACCCUUCUUUAUACCCUUUUAUUCAGGUUUAGGUCGAACCUAAUUAUGAUAUUAAUAUACUUUAUGUUUACCUAAGCUUGGCUUAAAAUAUGAGUCUAAAAUUUUGUUCAAGCCCACCAAUAUUAGUAAAAUACUAACCCAAGCCCAUUUUAGACCCACUCAUAUUAUUUUUAAAUAUUUUAAAAAAUAUUUAUAUUAUUUAAUUUAAUAUAUAAUAAUUUUAUAAUUUUAUAAUUAUUGAUUUUUUAUAUAGUCAUUUAAUAUUAUUUUAAUAUUUACAUUAGAGUACUAUUAUAUAUUUAGUACAAGUUUAUUUUUUUUAAUAUGUUAUAAAUUACAUAAUAUAUAAAAAUAACAUAAUAUAAAGUACUAUAAACUUAAAAAUAGGUGAGCUCGAAUUCAGGCCUUGAAUGUUCAAACUCGAGCCCGACUCUUAUUUUAAACAGGCUUAAUUUUUUUUGCCCAAACUUAUUUUUCGAGUCUAAUAUUUUUAUCCAAACACUAUCAAAUUUCGGCCAGGCCUUCGAGCCUGAACGAAUAGCCUUGUCCAUGAACAAGUUUAGUGCCAGGCACGCUUGAGGCGUUAAAACCUUUAUUUAACCUAAGGCGCAAGGUGCAAAAAAAGGUAAUCGUCUGAAUAAACCAACGCAUAAGCAUAUAAAUAUAAAUAUAAAUAUAUAUGUAAAAUGUAUAUAUAAGCAUAUAUAACUAAUAUCUAUAAUUAUUUAGUAAAAAUAUAAAUUUUAAUACAGUUGAGUUUAUAAAUUCAAAAUAUUGGUGAAUAAUUUAAGUCUAAUAAUUUACUUAAUUUAUUGUAUAACAAAACACCAUAAAAACAUAAUGCUCUAAAUUUCCUUCAUCUUCAUCUUCUCUUCAAUCAUAACAAUUUACAUCUCGUUCUGCUUCAAUAUCGUCAUCUUGGUCAAAAGUAGGUUAAUUUGAUGCACUUGACCUCAAUCUCAUUUGCACUCUAGCACAAUGUUCCAACACCGGCGACACUAACAACCAAACCCCAUGUCAAUUCAUCUUCAUCAAAUACUAAGUCAUCCUCGGCAUCAUUUGAAGUGUGUUCACCCAUCUUUCCAAUUAGCUCAUUCAUUACCUUCAUCAAUGUCUUCUAGUGAAAUAAGAUUAUGCAAGGGAUGAUGCAUGAAUGUUGCUGAAUGCUUCCAUGAUUGUUUCCUUCGCUCUAUCCAUGGUCGCCUUGUAUAUAUAUAUCCCAUGGCCGCCUUGUUUUUUCAUUGUCAAUAAGUCAGAGAACUCGAACUAAAGGACUCAGCCUUGAGAGUGAUUACCACACCAUUCCAAGGUGAUGGCAUUAGAAUAGUUUUAGCAACUUGUUUAGCCUUUGGAUCUUUGACACCCAAUUUUGAGAAAUGACCAUGGUUUUGAAAUGCAGAUGCAUUCUAAUGUGAGAUAAGAUGUGCAAAAACGAGUUUUACUCAGACCAGUUCCCUUACUUCGUGAACUCUCUCAUCAUGUUUAGCAUGACUGUGUGGUUAUUAAUAAACUUAUUAGUGAUGGCAACUGCUCUUUCUAAAGUCUUAGAGACUUAAGAAAGCUUGCCAAUAUUUUCUAAAAUGAGAUCAAGACAGUGUGCAUCACAUGGUGUCCAAUAUAGAUGUGAUCUUUUUGCUUGUAGCAAUUUACUUGGAAGUAAUAUCUGCACAAACUUACUAGCCAUGACGAAGUUACUUGCAUUGUCUGUAAUUACUUGGAAGACAUUAGCUUCUCCUACAUUCUUCCCAAAAGAAUCCAACAAUUCAAACAUUUUAUCUCCCAUUUUUUUACAUAUGAUGAACUUAACAAUUGAUCAAAAAUUUAUUAAGCUCCUGCCUUUCUUAUUCGUCUAUCCAUCUGUCAUAAUAAAACACCCAUGCUUCACCUAAACACAUUCUUGAAGCAUCUAGUUUCACGAUAUUAAAUGAAUUUCCUGCUUGGUAGAAAAAAACAAGCAAUAUGUUGACACGCUUCUUAUCUCAUGCAUCUAUAAUGUUUAAUUGCUUUCGAGACUGAAAAGUACUUUCUCUGGCUUUUGAGAGAUGAACGAAUCCAUAGGAGAAUUCUCUUUGUUAAAACAUGGAAGUGGUCACUUGCCCUUAUGAUUUCCUUUUAUCUUCUUCAUCAAUUUCCACAAUAUUGCUAAACUCAUUAAAAUUCAAUAACUUAUCAUAUAUUUUAAAUUUUUUUCUCAUUCUUAUAGGACAAAAGCUCCUUUCUCACAUUUAGUAGAGUCUUCAAGCACGACUUGGCAUUUCUAUGAUUAUUGACUUGAUGUUGUUUGGCUCGGAAUAUGCCACCUUUAGUUGUCUUUAUGACAAAACAUGCAAGUGGUGGUAUUCGGAUCUUUCGAAUUAGCCAAAAAAACAUAUUAAUUGCAGGUGGCUACCUGACACCUCCAAAGGGUAAGAAAUCAAACAAGGAUCCCCUAGAGUAAGUCAACUAGUUCAAAUACCAAAAACACAAUUUGCAAAUAGCAACAGAGCAACUGUAAAAAUAAGGGGUGAAAAGUAUGAUGGGAAUAGGAACAAAGGAAAAAAUAUUGGUAAAUUGGAUAUGGUGUUACUCGACUCGAAAAGGGUUGUACAGGACUCUAGGGUGCUGAACAAUGUGAUUCACACCAAAAGGGUAAUGGGCUCUCUUGAUAUAGGCCUUGCACUUACGACUGGAACUCCAGACUACCCAUUUCAAAUAUUUCAAAGGUGGAUCCAUUAAAAGACAAAAAGUCUUUGUAUUCAGGAUGGUGAAGGCCCUGUAAAAGACGUUGCAUGUCCAGAUAAUGAACUUCUUUCUACUUCUGUGCUCUCUUACUUGCUAAACUAAUUGUUGUUUAAAAGAACAAUGGCAAGGAGAGGAAUGUAAGGCGAUGGCAAUGGGAAUCUCUUUGGAGGAGAGUAAUGAACCUAUGAUGUGGGUAUAGGAACAGAUGGGGGAAAACAACCCAGUGCAAGAUCAGGUAUCCUCAAACAUGAGGGGGGAUCAAAAUAGACUAUUAAGGGGACCCCAAGGAAGCUCAAGGAGGCGGGGAAGAACUGAUGGUAUCUCCCCGUGCUAGUUACAACCAGAGAGAAGUUCAAACGUAUUGUCAAACCUAAGAAGCUGUCCAGUGGAUGCACGAGGCCAUUUGAGACGAUUCUAAUAUUGGUGCCGCCUAUGUGGCCAUCUCCAAUACAACCCUCCGCAUCAUCGUCUCAUGAGAACCAGAUGCCUGGAAUAAUGUGAGGGAGACUCAAUGGUUUAUCGAAAUCCUCCGUUACCAAUGAAGACCAUGAAGUGUUAUUAUAUCCUCAUCAAUUUUUAUAAAAAAAUAUAUCUCAUAUCUUAAAUAUAUUGUUGACUUUUAAUACUUUGCCUUGAGGUUUGGGCAAUGUCGGUGGUUUUAAUGCAAAAGUGACGUUCAUAUAUGCGUCUACACAUUAACUGAAUUAUUAUUACUCAAUGUCUAAAAAAACUGUUAAUUGUGGAAAAAAUGCUUGUGUGAUAUAAAAUUUUUGAGUAAGAGAUACAGAUGAUGUCUAAUUAGUAUUUUAUAUAAUUCUUUCCCUUAACGACAAAGGGUAAAUAUUUGAGGGUAAAAUUUUGCUAUUAGACCCUGUAAUUUGCGUAAAUUAUAGAUUUAAUAUAUGUACUUUAGUUUGGUCAUUUUCAAUCUAUGUGCUUUUAGAAUUUAAAAAUUUUAGUCUUGACAUAAUACCAACUAUUAAAUUCGAUAAGUUUUAUUAUUUUUAAAAUUUACUUAACACUUUUUUGUUCAAGACUUUGUAUUAAUUAAAAAAUUAAUAAGAUUAUCAAACACAUUUUAAAAAACAAUUGAAUAUUGAAAAUUUUCAUUUCAAUAAAAUGAGAAUUUUCAUAAUUUAUCAAACACAUCCUGUUACACGGUACGUCGAUAAUGGCAAUAGAAAUAAUCACAAAGCAAUAAGAAAGGAAAAUAAAAACAUGUCGAUUUUAUGUGAAAAACUCUCAUCUCAUUGGGAAAAACCAUGUGUAGAAGAAGAGAAAUUCAUUAAUGUUGAAACAUAACAAUACAAGAGGUUUGCGACUAUGCGUAGUUUUUAAAGGGUUAAACAACCCGUCUAAAAGACGAAGUAUAGUCCUAUACGGAUUUAAAUUUGUCUCUUUAUUUUAUUUUUUUAACAAGUGAGUCGUACCAUGAACUUUUUAAGCCAGAUUAAACGGGAUCCGAGUCACAGAAUUCUAGCAUAAGUUCUUAAAUUAAAACAUAAAAGUAAAAAUAAAAAUAAAAAUAAAAGAGCCCUUGAAUAUUUUGAUAUAUUGAAACAAGAAGAAUGGAUAGGCUUAAAAGAAAAUUUAUUUCAUUUAUGAUACUUAACAAAAAUAUAUUAAAAAUUUACAAAAGAAAUGAUAAAUAUAUAUAUAUAUAUUUGAAUUAUAUUAAAAGAUAAAAAAACAAAAUGGAGGGGACAAAGAAACCUGGCAGUGGGAGGAUGGCCCCAAUAUCCAGGAGUAUUGUAUACAGUUGGUCUUCUCUGAACCUUUGAAAUUUCUUUCCUAUGAAUGAUUAAAGGCAAAGGUGCCUUUGGAAGGCAAUCAACUUUAAUGCCUUCACUUAUGUUUAUUGAGGUGAGCCACCCUUAUCUUUCCAUUCAACACUACCAAUCAAGAUGUAACCACUUGUUUUUCAUUAUACUGGUUAGAGUAUGUUUAAAUGCAUAUUAUCUUUUAAUUUAAAAGUUUAGAAGGUUAUAAAAAAUUAUAUUAAAAAUAGUUAAAUUUAGUCUUUAGUUUUUAUAUAUUUUGUUAAUUUAAUUCUCUUUUUUUAGUUAAAAUUGACUUUUUACUUUUUAAAAGAGGUUAAAUUUGAUCAUCAACUUUACAAAAUAGAGUCAAAUUAUUAUUUUUUUAAUGGAAAUACUGACUAAAAUAUUAAAAUUUAAACAUUACAAUCCACAUGUAUUUUGUACUAUUUUUUUAUGAAGUUUUAUCUAUUUUUAAAUUUUGAAUUCUAUUUAAUUUUAAAAUUAUUUAUUGACAUAACAUAUAAGACAAAUAAUAAAAUGUCAACAUGAAAUACUUGUGGGCUACCACACGGUUUGCUACGUCAACAUCGUUAAAAAUUAAUGUUUUAAUUAAUAUUUAACAAUUUGAUUCUUUUUGAAAGAUUAAUGACUAAAUUUAAUUUUAAGAAAGAUUAAUGACUAAAUUUAAUUUUAAAAAAGAUUAAAUUAAUUAAAAAUAUAAAUAUUAAAGACUAAAUUUGAUAUUUACAUUAUCCCAAGAAAUCAAAAGGUUUAAGUCAAUUUUGUUUUUCAUUUUGGAAUUUUAAAACAAUUGUAUAUUAAGUCAAUACAAGUGACAAAUUUACAUUACUUUAGUUAAAUUUAUUAAAAAAAGCCAUAAUAAUAAAAUAAAACAAAAACACAUUGACCAUAUAUUUAAUGUUAAUCCCAUUGAUAAAUGAUGAAAUGAUUGUAAUGUCAUAACCAUGUAAAAGAAGGUCAUGUGAACUGAUAGAAGGGCAUCAAUGUUAAAGGUGCUCCCUGCAUGAAAAGAAGUGGUAACCAUCAUGACUUAGUACACACCAAUACCAUAGGUGAGUACUCAAUAACUCCAACCUACUCCACCUCUACAACCCACUGUCACAUAACUUCAUAGAUUAACCUAAACUAAAAUACAUCAUCUAAUUUCAUAAGAAAUGAUAAAAAAAUAAAAGAUAGGAAAAGGGAUAGUGAGAGAGAAGGCAACAAAUAACUUGACACCACCAAAAAGCUUUAGAUUGGUUUUGCUAUCACACUCAACAACAAAAACACCUUUCCUUCCCCCCAAACCCCAAAACCUUAUAGGAAGAAAAAUGGAAGAGAAGGAAAAGAAGAAGAACAAGAAGCAAAAACAUCAACACCCCAAUGAUCAAACAACUAAAUCAUCAGGACCAGCAUCGGAUUUUUCAUUCAAGCCAAGCAAUGAAGUAAAGGGUCUAAGAUUUGGUGGACAGUUCAUUGUAAAAUCAUUCACAAUCAGGCGAGCAAGGCCACUAGAAUUACCCAAACUACUUGAUUUCCCACCGUUGUUGAACAAAAACAAGCAGCUUCCUUUCCCUACCACCACAGCUUUUUUACCUACAAAUUUCACCAUCUUAGCUCACCAUGCUUGGCAUACACUCACCUUAGGUCUCGGAACCAAGAAAUCCAAAGUGGUUCUAUUUGUUUUCGAAUCGGAAGCCAUGAAGUUGGGUGUAGAUAGAGUUUGGCCAUCAGAGAUCCCACUUGGUGAAGUCAACAAGAAGCUGAUAAGAGGGUUAAAAGGGUGUGAAAUGGCGAGGUUUAAGUUCAGGAAAGGGUGUAUUACGUUCUAUGUUUAUGCAGUUAGAGGGAUUGGAACUAUGGGAUUUUCAUGCGCUGACGAUUUGAGGAUUAUUUUGCAAUCAGUUGUGGCACUCAAAGAUUUCUUGGAUCAUACUGCUGUGCUUGCUAUGCCUAAUCAGAGAAGCCUUAAUUACUCCCCUCAACUUGCAAUGGCUCAUUAAUCUUUCAUUUUUCUUCUUUUGAUCUUUGUUUAGUUUUAUUUCUGGGGGGAGAUUGGUUUAUUUAUUGGAUGAUUUUUGUUCAUAUUAUUAAUUUUUUAUAUAUAUAUAUAUUUCAACAAAUUUGUAGUAUGAAUAAAUUUGCAAGUUCUUGUUCAACAGUUCAUGGGCAGAAGUUGCUGACUGGCAGCAGUAACACCACAUUUUUCUAAAUUAAAUCUGUUAUUUUAUAAUAUGCUUUUAAACAUGCUCGAAUUACAUUAUCCUAAUUAUUACAAUAAUAAUAACGCAUCAAAACUUGUUAAUUACACAACUCAAUCCAUCCAAAGUUUUCCUCAUUUACUUGGGUGAAUCUUGUGAAAAAAUUAGCAUAUACAUGUGGUAACAUUUCAAGGAUGUAAACUUGUCUGAUAUAUAUAUACUUAAAGUCUGAUGAUGCCGCAUGAAUCAUGAAUGUAAAUUUGGUUAUGAUAAUAAUGAUGGAAAAUAGGUGAAAUAUUGUAACGUAAUUUAUUUCCUCGAGAGAAAAAAGAGAGAAUUAGAAUGGUUUGGAUUCUUUUUGGAUUGAAAUGAUGGAAACAGAGAUGGGGACCCAAAGGCAGGGUUUUAUUAUGGUCUAAAAGUCAAAGAACAAGAAAAUGCUUUCCUUCUCUUUUUCUGAUUUGUUAUUGUGGGAUUAAUCAUGCCACCACUUUUGGUUUCCAUUUUUAAAUAUUAAAUUAAAUUCGAUGUUUAAGUUAAUAUUCUUUCUCUUGAAGUUGAAGUAUAUUUUAAUGUUUACUUUUUUUUUCGUUAAUAAGAUUUUGAAGUCACCCACGAUACAAAGAAAUUAAGGUAUUUAUUAAUAUUUUAAAAAUUAAACUGAUGGUCCAAUCAAUCAAAUUAUAAAUACUCAAUUUAAGAAAUAAUAAAAAAUUUAUAAAAUUUAUAAAUCAAUUCAAAGCUUACUGGAGUAUUAAAAUGUUUUGGUCUUUCAUAGCUACAAAAGGACUAGGCCCAUCAACGUUGAGUAAGUAGACUGGAUCCAUUAAGCUGAGGUAUAACAACUAUAAUUUAGUUCACGACUCGUGCACUUUUCGUAUAAGAUAAAUCUUAAAAUUAUAUAUAAGUUUUAAUUUAAUAUAUAAUAUAAUUAUAUAUAUUUAUUUUACUGUCUUUGUUCGAGGUUCAUAACUGUCCCUUACAAUAAUAUUAUUUUCAAAGUUUAAAUCGAUGUCUCUCUUAAAAAAUGUAAUGUGCCUUAUCAUUACGUUCAAUAGUUAUUAGUAAUAAAUUUAUCUUUCAUUUUAUGUCAUUUAGAAAGUAUCAAAGAGAGAAGAAUGUACUCUUGAGCAUGCCAAGUACAUAGGUGAAAUUGCUUCGGUUAUGGUUUUGUAAAGAUUGUGAAUUUAUGUCUUCCACGGGAUUGAUGCUGCUUGGACAGAAAAAUGAUGGUUUCUGCUUUAGAGGGUGAUACAAAUGAUGAGAACAAAAUCCUUAGAAAACAACAUUGUUUUUAGAAUAAAUUCAGAAUAAGAGGUUGGAUAUUGAUUAAUUUGUGAAUCGGUAAGAUCGGUUAAAUAAAUUUUUUUAUUUUUAAUAAUAUAUUUAAUUGAACCAAAUAAAUUAAUUAAACCAAAAAUUGAUAGUGUGAUCAAUUUUUAGAAUUGAUACAAUUUUAAAAACCUUGCAAAACAAUAAUCUAACAAGCAUGUAUCCCUUGGUGUCCUACAACUCUAACCACUAGUGCUCUCAAUAAAAAGUAAAAAUUGUAUAAUUGUAUAAUAAUUUUGUGAAAAUUGAGAUUAAAAAUUAUUAAAAGAAUUAAAUUUUUUAAGAAAAAUAAAUUCUAUAAUUUAAUAGAAUGUGCUUCUAGAUAGGGGCUGGUACGGCCUGACCCCCUAAAAUUUUAAAAAAAUUAAAUUAAUAAAAAUAAAAUUACAUUUUAGCCACCUAAAAAUGAUAAAAAAUUAAUUUAAUUAAAUAAAAAUUAUAAAGAUAUGAAAUUGUAUUUUUACUAUAGUAAAAAUUAUAAUUUAACUUUGACCCUCUUAAAUAAAUUUUCUAACUUCGUCAUUAUUUCUAGAUAAUCUUACAUUCCAUCAACCCUAAAUCUUAAAUUCCAGCCAAAUAAACUUAAAUAAUCUCCAUCUUCCAUUUCUUUAAUCCUAUUACGAGGGUAUUACUAGUUGAACAAAAAAACAAAAAUUUGGGGUUAUUUUCUUUCAAUCAGAAUCUAAACUGUAUGCAUAUUCAAAUUUCAAACGAAUAACAAAAUGGGGCAAGCAGUUGAAGCUUUUAAAUGAAGAGAAAAAGACAUUUCAGUUCUUGAAAUCCAUCCAUUCUCAACCUAUUAAGGAUUCAAAUUCAAUCACAGCCACCAAUCCCGGCUAAAAAUUGUAUGGAAAUAGCACUUUCAAUAUCAUUACAUUUUAUAAUUUCGCAGGUCAUUUUGUAUUCACAUCAUUGUCAUUUGAAUUUAAAGUUUUAAUCUUUUAAGUAAAAUAAUUUUGAAUUCUACUCUGAGUUGAUAUUUUAAUCACUUUAAAUUCAAAUCAUUUAAGGUUAUUUGAUCGAGCUAUUCAAGUUUGGUUCUUAAUAAAUUUAGAAUGCAAAAUAGUAAUGGCAGUAAUGGAUGAAGAUGGGAUUCCACAGAAACCAGAUAUAGAUGGUAAAAAAACCAACUUCUCAUUAAAAAGAAUUGAAAGAAUUGGUCCACACACGAUGAAACAUUUCUCUUUCUCUGAUGCUUUAUCGUUUUAUCCGACAAGAGAAUAAACAUAUGUUGAUAGAACAAAGCUCAUGUCGAAAACCAUUUAGAAGCAUUUCCUGUGGACAAUUGAUGGACCCGAUUCAUCGUACUCUGCCUUGGCGAUCCACAUCUGCGACCGAAUAGGUUAAUGUAAGACAUCGAUCGAACGAAAUGUGAGCAUGUAAUGUAAAAGUAAAUUAACUUACUUGUUGGAAUGUGCUAAGGGAAGCCAAGAUCGAGCCGCCAAUCCAGACACUAUACUUCCUCUCAGGUGGAGCAACAACCUUAAUCUUCAUGCUGCUAGGAGCUAAAGCCGAGAUCUCCUUGGUCAUUCUAUCAGCGAUACCGGGGAACAUAGUUGUACCACCACUGAGUACAAUGUUACCGUACAAGUCUUUCCUAAUAUCGACGUCACAUUUCAUUAUCGAGUUGUAAGUUGUCUCGUGGAUGCCUGCAGCUUCCAUACCGAUCAUCGAUGGUUGGAAAAGCACUUCAGGGCAUCUAAAACGCUCGGCCCCGAUGGUAAUAAUCUGACCGUCUGGUAACUCGUAAGUCUUCUCUACCGAUGAGUUUGUUUUAGAGGUCUCUAAUUCCUGCUCGAAAUCCAGAGCAAUGUAUGAUAGCUUUUCCUUCACGUCCCUAACGAUUUCCCUCUCGGCUGUGGUUGUGAAUGAAUAUCCACGUUCGGUCAAAAUUUUCAUAAGGUUAUCGGUGAGGUCACGGCCAGCCAAGUCGAUACGAAGAAUAGCAUGCGGGAGGGCGUAACCCUCGUAUAUAGGGACCGUGUGGCUAACACCGUCUCCGGAAUCCAACACAAUACCUACAGAACAAGAUGUAAUUAUGAGAACCAUACUAAAAUUAUUAAAAUCAUUAGCCACUCAAUGGUUACUUACCGGUGGUACGACCACUGGCAUAAAGAGAGAGCACGGCCUGAAUGGCGACAUACAUAGCAGGUGCGUUGAAGGUCUCAAACAUAAUUUGGGUCAUCUUCUCACGAUUUGCUUUAGGGUUAAGAGGGGCUUCGGUAAGUAAAAUGGGGUGUUCUUCCGGGGCAACACGAAGCUCGUUAUAAAAAGUAUGAUGCCAAAUCUUUUCCAUAUCAUCCCAGUUGUUAACAAUACCAUGUUCAAUAGGGUAUUUCAAUGUCAAAAUACCUCUUUUUGAUUGAGCUUCAUCACCAACAUAUGCAUCUUUUUGGCCCAUACCAACCAUUACACCGGUGUGCCGAGGCCGACCGACGAUGCUAGGAAACACAGCUCGUGGUGCAUCAUCCCCAGCAAAUCCAGCCUAAACAUAAACAUUUCAUAAGCCUUUAAUCUUAAUAUUACAUAACAAUAAUAAUAAUAAAAGAGAGGCAAUUUUAAUCAUUUACCUUAACCAUUCCUGUUCCAUUGUCGCAAACAAGGGGUUGGAUAUCCUCGCCCUCUGCCAUCUUCUACAACCUGCUAUACAUUAACAAAUGACAAUCCAGUGAUGCAUAGAUCCUAUUAAGAAAACAACCCAGAAAAGAAAACAGAAAAAUGAAGGGUAAAGGACCUUGAGAAAACGAGGAAGUGGUUGAUGGCAGAGAAAAGCGAGGAUUAAAGCGAGAAGCAGACGACGAGGGAAGAGAGGAGAGGAAGGGGAGUUUAUAAAGGGCAUGAGAGUGAAUGUGAGCCGUUGGAUUAAUUUGUUUUUAUUCAUAUAUUUUUUGGGGAAAAAAAAAAGAUUGGCUUCCAUUCUUAACGGAUUUUCAAGUUAUUUUUUACUUUUUAUUUUGCCAUUUGGUAUUUGUUUAAUGCCUCUCAUUUUCUAAGGUUUGAUUUUGUUUUUUUUCCUUCUAUUUAUUAAUUAUAAUUUUCAAAAUUAUAAAUAUAUCUAUUUUAAAUUUAAAUAAUAUAAUUAUAUUUAAUUUUAAAAACAAAAUAAUUUAAAUUUUUUUAAAUAUAAAUAUUAUAAUAAUAGAUUGUGGUUUCUAAUUUAAUUUUGAAUUAUUAAAAGGUGAAUAUAGAUUAUUAAUUAAAUUUAAAUAUCGGUAUAACAUUAAUUAUAUUUUAAAUAUGUAUUUAGAUUUUAAUAGUGUAUUUAAUUUAUAAAAAAAAUUAUAAACUUAAAGAAGAUUUUUUUAAAUGAUUUUAAAUUUUUACAAUAACUUAUUAUAUAAAAUUGUAAAUUAAAUUAUUGAAUAUAAGUAAAUUAAAAAGAUUUAUUAUAAAAAAUAUAACUUACAAUACACCAUUAAAAAUUAUAUAAAAAGGCGAAGUGGUUUAAUGAAUUCGAUUCCUUAAAAAUUGUUUACAUUUUUUUACUCAUUCAAUAAACAACAUAAAAUCAUAAAUAUAUUUUUAAACAUCAAUUGUAUGAUAAAAGUCAUACCGUCAUCACGAGUAAGUCUAAAAAAAAAGAACUAAUAAGUUAAUUUAAAUGAGGUGUGUAUACUUUUUCUUUCGAGAAUUAUAAGAGGAGGGCAAAGUUUUAACAGUAAAAUGAUUAGCGGGACUUAAAUUUAAAUCACACUUAAGACUAUAAACACCCUAACUAUCAGGCUAACACAUAAAGUUGAAGUAUCUAUAAUUUUAAAAAGUGUUGUAGAUUUCAUAAAUUUGUCACCUUAAUCACGAUAAAAGGAAAUAUGCCAACAAGAUAUCAUGCGAUAAAAGGUUUAGGUGCUAAAUUAAAUAUUGAAGCCAAAAUUAAGCACUUAACUGAAAUAAAAAGAAAACUUAAAUAUCAAAUUGAAAAAACUCAUGUGCCAAAGUGAACAUUAAACCUAAACAUAGAUAUCAAAUUAGAACAAAAAAAUAAAUUUAAGUACCAAAUUGAACAUUAAAAUUAAAUUCAGAUACCAAAUAAUAUAUUAAAUAUAGCAUGUUGAAUUCAAUUCCAAGAAUAAAUAAAUAAGAAAUAGUUACCACCUAAAUUGGUUAUUGAAAAUUAUGAAUAAGAAUAAUUCAUGAUAGAUAUUGUAUUGAUUAAAAAUGUAAAUGGAGAGCAAAAUUGAAAAGUGUUUGAUGUUUAACAUUUCAUAAAUUUGACUGUUGAGUUAUAGAUUGGACAAGUUUCACCAUCAUGAUUUUGUAUUAAAAUUUGAAUUUGAAAUGUCUAAGUUAAAUUUUGGAAUAAGUGUUUGAGUUAAUUUGUUGGGUUUGAUUUUGAACUAUCAUUACUUUAGCUGCUAACCAACCUUCCAACUUAAAAAUAACUAGUUGGAUUGGACCUAGUCUAAGGCUUGAUUUUUUUUCUUUCCCUAGACUCUUCUUUUUGGUUUGGUCUUUACCAUUUUGUAAGCUCAAAUCACUACUUAUUUGAUAUUAAAAAUUUAAAAAUAUCUUUACAUUGAUAAAAUGUAUUUUGAGGAGUCGAUUUUUUUAGGAGAAAAUGUUGCUUGACGGUCUCUUAACAACCAAAUGUAUUGUUCCUCGGUGAUGGUUUUGUCUCCUAUGCUCUACCAAGAGCCAACAUGUCCUAAGCGGUUGCUUAGUGGACCUACUUCUCAUUGUUAGGAGCAUCUUAGUUGGUGGAGUUGUAGAGCUCAAAAGAGAUGUGUCAAUAUAGGCGUGUAAUAAUUAUGAAGCUCACUUGUGCGUGUAUGACCCACUUACCUACAACCAUGGCACCACUUGGGCAAAACUAUUGCUACAAGUGACCUAUAUGCCUCACAUUCAUGGUUUGAGUCCUAACAUGCCUAGUUGAGCUUCAUAAUAAUUAGAUGCCUUAUACUAACACUAUAAUAAUCCAAUUUUCAGUAGUGUUAAAAAAGAUAAUUUUGGAACUCCAUUUUCGUAAACUAAAUCCAUAAAUAUCAAAUAUGAAUAUUCACGGAGUUGGUAUAAUAAAAUUAAAGUUUAGUCCUUCAAUUUUGUCUAUCAAUUGCUUAAUUAGGGUACAAGGACUAAUUGUAAAAGUCUUAUCACUAUAGAUUUUUAAAUAGCUAAAGGUUCCAAAUUGUAAAUAAACCAUUUUAUUUCAUCCAAUAGUGGAGAAUGAUGUUAACAUCCACGAAUUUUAGUUAAUUAUGAUUAAGGUUAAGUAAUUAAGAUUCAAUUAAUUAAUUUUGAUUAAUUAAUAUUUAAACUAAGUAUAUAAAGGUAACUUAGUGCAUUUGUCAUCUUUAUUUUUCUUCUUCUUCUUUUUCUUCUUUUUCUUCUUCUUCAUUGAAGUAACAUAUAACCUAAAAGGAAAAAAAUCAUUUUUGAGCUCGAAGCUUUCGGUCCUUAAUUGGCAACCUUUUCCAAGUGCUUUUCUUGUAAUUUGUAUGUUUUUAAGGUUAUGAAAGCUUGAUUUAGCUAGCCCAUGUACCAAUUUGUAAAACUGUUAAAGUUUUUAGAAGUUGUCAUUGGUGAUUUCUGAAGAAAUUGGUGUUAAGUUGAUAGAUUUUAAGCUUAGAUGUGAAAAAGGACUAAAUUGUAAUGUGUAAAUUGUUAGUUUUGCACAUAAGGACUAAAGUGAAUAAAUUGUGAAAUUUAUAUGAAAUUUAAAUAAUAAUAGAUAGUGGAGGGUCUGAAAUAAAUGUAAUUGAAGUCGGUUUUUAAAUCGAGGCUUAAAAUUGAAAGUUAUAACUAUUUCGAUUUUAGGGACUAAAUUGAAUAAAAUGUAUGUAAGAACCAAUUUUGGCCCGGGCCCUUACAAACACAAAACAAAAAAAGAGAGAGAAUAAAUUAUAAUAAAAAUAUUAUAACAGUCCAAAUAUUACAACCCAUUUACAACAAAUAUUAACAGUUCAUUGGCCCAAAAUAACCCUAGCCCAAUAUUACACAACAAAGCAGGCCCAAAUGGCCUGAAAGUUUGGCAAUCACAGAAACCCUAGGUCACCCUCUUGCGCCGCAACAGCUCCACAGCAGCCUUUAGCCUCUAAGCGCCGUACAACCACCAGCAGCCUCCGUACACGCCAGCUACCUUCGCCACGUUGCCUCCGUACCUGCAAAAGAAGACAAGCAAAGGACAAACACAACAGCAAAUACAAAAAAAUAUAUAGAAAAAAUUGUAUUUUUUUAUUUUAUUUUGAUUUUCCUUUUCUGCUAUAAAGCCAAGAGAUUUCAUCAUCUGUAAACGUUACGUAUACUGAAUACCAAAAAAAGUAAUCAAAAAUCAAAAAGGUUAUCAAAAAGGUGAAUUCAAAAUCUGUUUACUGCCCUUUUUCCGUUUCUAUCGAUUUGUUUGCAAUUUUAGCAUGAAAAAAGAAAAAAGGGAUGCUUGAAUCGAUGCCGAUGAGAGCCCAAAUAUCUCAAAAGUAUGGAAAUGUGGGCGAGGGUCGAACAGUGUUGGGUUUUUGUUACUCUUCUAAUUUUGCUUCGUUUUUUUUAAAGGAUAGUAUAGGAUUUGAAGUUUUUUUUUUAAAAAAAAAAGAAAGAGGGAAAGAGCAAACUUACCAGAUUUCCAUGGUCGUGGCCUCCGUUGGCAAGAUCUGGCUACUGUUCGCGCAUCGUCGGCCACCAAAUAGAAUGGUGAUCCGGUGGCUACAUGCUAAAUGAAGCCCUAACAGAGUGGGUUAAUAGCUUUGUUUCUUUAAUUAAGAGAUUGGAUGUGUUUUAAGAAAAAAUGGAUGAGAAUGAAGGUCUAACAGCAAAAUUAAAAACGACGCCGUCCCAAAGGGGGAAGGAUCCGCGUUUUGACCUGAUCGGUAGGCUGGAUCCGCGUUCUUUUGUUUGAAAGGGUUAAUUGCGCGCUAGGUCCUCCCCCUUUGCGCGGUCGUUCAAUCUCAUGUUGUUUGUUUUAUUUCUUUUUUAAAAUUUAACCCUGUAAUUAGUGCUUAUUUGCGAUUGGGUCCACGCCUCAAUGAGGUGUUUUGGGAUCUGGAAUAAUUCCAGCUUUAGUCCUUGUGAAUUUGAGCACAUUGUACGCUGGUCCCUAUUUUGGGUUUCUUUUAUUUUUGAAUUAUCCCUCUUAUUUUAAUUCAGUUUUAAU
rnacentral:lncRNA from 1 species